rnacentral:rRNA from 1 species
AUUGAACGCUGGCGGCAGGCCUAACACAUGCAAGUCGAGCGGAUGAAGAGAGCUUGCUCUCUGAUUCAGCGGCGGACGGGUGAGUAAUGCCUAGGAAUCUGCCUGGUAGUGGGGGACAACGUUUCGAAAGGAACGCUAAUACCGCAUACGUCCUACGGGAGAAAGUGGGGGAUCUUCGGACCUCACGCUAUCAGAUGAGCCUAGGUACGAUUAGCUAGUUGGUGAGGUAAAGGCUCACCAAGGCGACGAUCGUUAACUGGUCUGAGAGGAUGAUCAGUCACACUGGAACUGAGACACGGUCCAGACUCCUACGGGAGGCAGCAGUGGGGAAUAUUGGACAAUGGGCGAAAGCCUGAUCCAGCCAUGCCGCGUGUGUGAAGAAGGUCUUCGGAUUGUAAAGCACUUUAAGUUGGGAGGAAGGGCAGUAAGUUAAUACCUUGCUGUUUUGACGUUACCGACAGAAUAAGCACCGGCUAACUUCGUGCCCGCCGCCGCGGUAAGAC